CCUACGGGAGGCAGCAGUGAGGAAUAUUGGUCAAUGGACGAGAGUCUGAACCAGCCAAGUAGCGUGAAGGAUGACUGCCCUAUGGGUUGUAAACUUCUUUUAUAUGGGAAUAAAAUGUUCCACGUGUGGGCUUUUGUAUGUACCAUAUGACUAAGGAUCGGCUAACUCCGUGCCAGCAGCCGCGGUAAUACGGAGGAUCCGAUCGUUAUUCGGAUUUAUUGGGUUUAAAGGGAGCGUAGGUGGAUCGUUAAGUCAGUUGUGAAAGUUUGCGGCUAAACCGUAGAAGUGCAGUUGAAACUGGGAGUAUUGAGUACAGGAGAGGUGGGCGGAAUGCGUGGUGUAGCGGUGAAAUGCGUAGAUAUCACGAAGAACUCCGAUUGCGAAGGCAGCUCACUGGACUGCAACGGACACUGAGGCGCGAAAGUGUGGGUAUCGAACAGGAUUAGAUACCCCGGUAGUC
rnacentral:rRNA from 1 species